rnacentral:lncRNA from 12 species
GAACCUCCCAAACCCCAACCCCAAAAUCCCAAAGAGCCCCAAAACUCCGUGAGAACAACUUUGAUUUAUUUUCCCAAAAGCGAGUUUGGUCCCAGAUUUCAGGUGCGGGGGGAGGGGCAGGUACCGAUAUUUUGGGAGGAAGGGGGCGGGGCCAGGUAAGGCUGCCACGUGCCCAGGUGAGCUGGGUGUGGUGGGCGUGGUUCAGGGGUGAGGUGGGCGUGGCUAUUGUGAGCUGGGUGUGGCAGAGCUGAGGUGGGCGUGGCUAAUGCAAGACAGGCGGGGCCCAGGUGAGGUGGGCGUGGUUUAGGUGAGGUGGGUGUGGCCCCGGUGAGGUGGGCGUGGUUUGCAUGUGGACGUGGCUUCGCUGAGGUGGGCGUGGCUAAUGUGAGAUGGGCGUGUCUCAGGUGAGCUGGGUGUGGCCCAGGUGAGGGUGGAGUCGUGAUUGUGAGGUGGGCGUGGCUCAGGGGAUGAAGAGGGCGUGGCUAAUGCGAGGUGGGCGUGGUUUAUAUGAAGUAGGCAAGAUGCAGUUGAGCUGGGCGUGGUCAGGGUGUGGUGGGCGUGGCUAAUGUGAUGUGGGCGUGGCCCAGGUGAGGUGGGUGUCACCUGGGCACAGUGGGCGUGUCUCAGGGUGAGAUGGGCGUGGUCCAGGUGAACAGGUUGUGGCACAGGUGAGGUGGGCGUGGCUAAUGAGAGGUGGGCGUGACUCUGACCAUGUGGGCGUGGUCCAGGUGAGCUGGGCGUGGCCCGGGCUCAGUGGGCGUGUCUCAGGGUGAGGUGGGUGUGUCCCAGGUGAAGAGGGCGUGUCCCAGGGUCACCGGGCGUGUCCCAGGCGGGCUGGGCGUGUCCCAGGAGCGCCUGCGCUGGGCGUGUCCCAGGUGCACCGGGCGUAUCCCAGGUUCACCGGGCGUGUCCAAGGUUGCGCCGGGCGUAUCCCAGGGUGAGAUGGGCAUGGUCCAGGUGAAGAGGGUGUGUCUCAUGGUGAGGUGGGCGUGUCCCAAGGACACCGGGCGUGUCCCAGGCGGGCUGGGCGUUUCCCAGGAGCGCCUGGCGUGUUUUAGGGUGUGGUGGGCGUGUCCCAGGUGCGUCGGGCGUGUCCCAGGUUCACUGGGCGUGUCCCAGGGUGAGAUGGGCAUGGUCCAGGUGAAGUGGGCGUGUCUCAGGGUGAGGUGGGUGUGUCUCAGGGUGAGGUGGGCGUGUCCCAGGGUCACCGGGCGUGUCCCAGGUGUGCCGGGCGUGUCCCAGGGUCACCGGGCGUGUCCCAGGUAGCGCCGGGCGCGGCUCAGGUUGCGCCGGGCGUGUCCCAGGGUGAGGUGGGCGUGGUCCAGGUGUGCCGGGCGUGUCUCAGAGUGAGAUGGGCAUGGUCCAAGUGAAGAGGGCGUGUCUCAGGGUGAGGUGGGCGUAUCCCAGGGUCACCGGGUGUGUCCCAGGUUGCGCUGGGCGUGUCCCAGGUGUGCUGNNNNNNNNNNNNNNNNNNNNNNNNNNNNNNNNNNNNNNNNNNNNNNNNNNNNNNNNNNNNNGAAAA